GGUUCGACGGCGUAGUUAGUUAUCGCAUCUGUCCAACAUGGUCUGCACAGCAGGUGCCCAGUUCGAGUCUGGGUCGAAUCA